rnacentral:rRNA from 1 species
GAUGAACGCUAGCGGCAGGCCUAAUACAUGCAAGUCGAACGGUGUCUUCGGACAUAGUGGCGCACGGGUGCGUAACACGUAUGCAACCUACCUUACAUUGGGGGAUAGCCUUUCGAAAGGGAGAUUAAUACCGCAUAAGACAGUAGCUGGGCAUCCAGCAGCUGGUAAAGAUUUAUCGAUGUAAGCUGGGCAUGCGUCCAAUUAGCUAGUUGGUGAGGUAACGGCUCACCAAGGCAAUGAUUGGUAGGGGAACUGAGAGGUCAAUCCCCCACACUGGCACUGAGAUACGGGCCAGACUCCUACGGGAGGCAGCAGUAGGGAAUAUUGGGCAAUGGACGCAGGUCUGACCCAGCCAUGCCGCGUGCAGGAUGAAGGCGUUAUGCGUUGUAAACUGCUUUUAUACAGGAAGAAACGACUCUUGCGAGAGGCAUUGACGGUACUGUAUGAAUAAGCACCGGCUAACUCCGUGCCAGCCGCCGCCGUAAAAC